UUAUCAUCGUAAAAAAGAUUCAACCUUUACACAUCAAAAGCAAAUUCAAUGGACAUAUAUCUCUCGGUCAUCAAGAUUACAAAGUGUAGCAAAUAGCUCAUAGUUAUCUUAUCGGACUACAAUAAAUGGUGGAAACUUUUUCAUGACAAAGAAACAUGAUACUAGAAGUAUCAAGACAACCUCCUGCGAUAUAUCAAGCAAUAAAGCAAAUAAAAAGCAAGAGUGGAUAAAGUUUUGGAAUGAUUCUCAGGUUAUUCACUUGUCUUGGGGCAAAAGGAUCAUUGGUCUGUCCAAAAUUAAAAAGAUGUGGUCCUUCUCUUUACUGAAUUAUUCUACAGGAAACGGACAUCAAUCUUAUCAGUUGGGGAUCCUCACUUAAAUCUUUGGGACCCAGGAUAAAUAAGAUUCACCAAUAAUGAAGCAAAGUAGAUGAAUGAUUAGCAGAAGAUAUCCUCGUUAAAGCAAUAAUACUCAAAACUAAAGCAAAGUAGACUGAUUAGCAGAAGAUAUCCUCGUUAAAGCAGUUAUAAUCAAAACUACCAAACAUAUGGAUACAGAUGGUCACAAUAAUAUCAGUAUAGGUAGCACAACACAUAAAAGUGAGACAAGCAAGUUGUAGUGCCUUCCAAUCGCUUUCCAAGAACAUAGAGCACUUGCUGUCACUCAGCAACCAAUUCAACAAAGUUUGCAACAUUAUCGUGCAACAAAAUCAUGUACACUUUAGCUCAAAUAUGACUCCUCCAUCUGCUAUAGGAACUGCAUAUUCUUCUUCGGUAGUAGAUAUUUUACCCUUCCUUUUCUUUUGCACAAGAUAUUUUAAUCAGGAAAGAUAUGGUGUAUCUGACUGUCCACCUUAUCAGGAACUUUUUACAACACAGAUGCUAUUAUAAAUAGUGCUACAGAAGAUACAAGCAACCAAGCGAAGAGCUUAGUUAGAAUACCUUCAAAAAGAAAGAAAAAAAAGUGCUUAAUCAGGAAAUGGAGUCUGGCCGCAAGCGUAGAGUGUCCAAAGUCUGUCAUGCCAUCAACCAAGCCAAAGGCUUCUUCCUUGGUCAAAAAGGAAGGAAUAGGCAACUCGGGUAGCUAUAAUGACGCAGCCAACAGCAUAGAUACCAUCAGUGAGGUAGAUAGGAAAGCUGCAAACUUCAUUGCCUAUGUUCAAGAACGAUUCAAGCUCGAGCGAAUUGAUGAGGACUGGGGGAACUAUUAGUAGGUGCACCAAAGAAGGUUCACUGCAACUGGAUGUAGUUAUCAGGUAGCUCAUUCGACUUGUUUUACUACUGAUAGUCCUACUAGAAGUAAUAAGAUGAUGCUGUAAGCAGUAGUUGUGAGGGAAAACAAUAGGCUCUGUUUACAUUUGUUACAGCUGAGUAGCCUGAAACAGAGUGAAAUUUCAUGUAACCUUAUUGCAUAAUAACAUCUUGUAUAUUUUGAGCAA